rnacentral:rRNA from 1 species
AUCUCGGCUCUCGCAUCGAUGAAGAACGUAGCGAAAUGCGAUACUUGGUGUGAAUUGCAGAAUCCCGUGAACCAUCGAGUCUUUGAACGCAAGUUGCGCCUAAGCCUUCUGGCCGAGGGCACGUCUGCCUGGGUGUCA